GUAAUGCCUGGGAAAUUGCCCUGAUGUGGGGGAUAACCAUUGGAAACGAUGGCUAAUACCGCAUAAUGCCUUCGGGCCAAAGAGGGGGACCUUCGGGCCUCUCGCGUCAGGAUAUGCCCAGGUGGGAUUAGCUAGUUGGUGAGGUAAGGGCUCACCAAGGCGACGAUCCCUAGCUGGUCUGAGAGGAUGAUCAGCCACACUGGAACUGAGACACGGUCCAGACUCCUACGGGAGGCAGCAGUGGGGAAUAUUGCACAAUGGGCGCAAGCCUGAUGCAGCCAUGCCGCGUGUAUGAAGAAGGCCUUCGGGUUGUAAAGUACUUUCAGUCGUGAGGAAGGUAGUGUAGUUAAUAGCUGCAUUGCUUGACGUUAGCGACAGAAGAAGCACCGGCUAACUCCGUGCCAGCAGCCGCGGUAAUACGGAGGGUGCGAGCGUUAAUCGGAAUUACUGGGCGUAAAGCGCAUGCAGGUGGUUUGUUAAGUCAGAU
rnacentral:rRNA from 1 species